rnacentral:rRNA from 1 species
AGAAUCAACGCUGGCGGCGUGCCUAACACAUGCAAGUCGAACGAGAAAGUGGAGCAAUCCAUGAGUACAGUGGCGACCGGGUGAGUAACACGUGACCAAUCUACCUUCGAGUGGGGGAUAAACUCCGGGAAACCGGGGCUAAUACCGCAUAACAUCUUUGGAAUGCAAAUUCCGUUGAUCAAAGGAGCAAUUCGCUUGAAGAGGAGGUCGCGGCUGAUUAGUUAGUUGGCGGGGUAAUGGCCCACCAAGACGAAGAUCGGUA